AAUUGUGUCUUGAUUAAAAUGGUAUAAUUAGGCGCUCUGGAUCUCUCUCCCCUUUCCCUAAGAUUAUUUCUGUCUAAUUGCUUUAAUCUGUGUUUUCAUGCACCCACUAGAAAAUCAAAGCAUGCUCCCAUGAGGAUGCGGGUGAGAGUGAAUAAAGCUGACGACUCAUUAAGUGCAGCAGAGAGAGGAAACUGCAUCUAAAUCACCACUACAUUAACGAGGUGACUUCUUAUCAGCGAUGCUCAAGCUACAGACUCCGACAGCUAGCCCCAGUAACCUACAAACAGGUCACUUCUCUCCAAGGGAGGAAUCGUGAAAACAAGGUAACUUUAAAAAGCUUCUGGCUGUAUUUGUGUCUUGUUAACAUCUGCUCUAGU
ensembl:lncRNA